UGUUGAGAGGGCCAUCCAUGAAAACAAGGAUUGAAAC
rnacentral:other from 1 species